UUGCAAUGAUGACAAUCUUAGGACACCUUUGGAAUAACCAUGAAAACAACUAAGUUCUGAGCAAC